AGCCAAGUAGAAAGCUAAAGGGCAGAAGGUUACUGACAGCAAGUGGAUUUAUACCAUAGGAAGGUUUCCCUACGCAAGGAUAAGGCCAGCUAUUAGGCAUCCGGGCCUUGGAGAAAGUCAGACCGGAUUCUUCAGAAAGUACAGCCUGAUCUGUGAGGUCAAGCUUAAGACUGUGGA